rnacentral:rRNA from 1 species
AGGCGGUUUGUCACGUCUGCUGUGAAAACCGGAGGCUCAACCUCCGGCCUGCAGUGGGUACGGGCAGACUAGAGUGCGGUAGGGGAGAUUGGAAUUCCUGGUGUAGCGGUGGAAUGCGCAGAUAUCAGGAGGAACACCAAUGGCGAAGGCAGAUCUCUGGGCCGUAACUGACGCUGAGGAGCGAAAGCAUGGGGAGCGAACAGGAUUAGAUACCCUGGUAGUCCAUGCCGUAAACGUUGGGAACUAGAUGUAGGGACCAUUCCACGGUUUCUGUGUCGCAGCUAACGCAUUAAGUUCCCCGCCUGGGGAGUACGGCCGCAAGGCUAAAACUCAAAGGAAUUGACGGGGGCCCGCACAAGCGGUGAGCAUGUGGUUAAUUCGACAGCAACGCGCAGAACCUUACCAGCUCUUGACAUCUGUCGAACUUCACGGAGACGUGUUGGUGCCCGCAAG